GACGGGCAGCGCCUCAGUGUUGUCGUAGUGAGCAGACAGGGUAGCAGAAGUGAAGGUAGGCACCGUUGAUGGUCUGCAGUCUUUUUUAGCAACACACUUUUUGUACUUUUGACGAAAAGAAUAAACAUGGGAAGCACAGUGACGGAGUCCAGUAAGGAGAGCUCAAAGAAAAUACCGAAGAAGAGGAGAAGUCUGCGGAUUAACAUGCCAGACUUCGGUGCAUUUACUUCCCCACAAGUGGAGACGAGUGGCUCAACCAAAAGUGGUGCUCAGACGGGAGAGCGUCGCAUCCGUUCUGCCAGCCCCACCAAAUCUGUGUCUGCCAAGAGUCCAGUUGUCCUGCCGCCAUGUCCCCAGUCUGCUCCUGUGCAAAUGAAGACCAGCUCAGGUUCCCCCAAAACUAUCUUCCCCUAUCCCUCCCAUCAGAGCUCCCCACCAAAGUCCCCCCGCCGCCUGAGCUUCAGUGGUAUCUUCCGCUCCUCAUCCAGCUCCUCACCUGGGAGUAUCAAACUCUUCUCCAGAACCAAGAGAGCCUCAGGACUCUUCACACCACCCACCACCCCAACCCAGUCGUCGAGUCAGCCUGUGUUCACCCAGGAGGCCACGCCCAGCAGGCCCAGCCUCGAACGCCAGGAGCCCAGUGUUCGGUCUCGCUCGCUCUCAACACCUCCAGAUACUGGACAGCGGCUCAGCCUCCCAUCCGCUAAACCCCCGAUCCCUUCUUCGAGCCCUGUGCCAUCCUACUCUACCUCACAACAACAAGUCUACGGUUUAUUCGAAGGCAUGCUGGAGAAACUUGAACUAGAUGAUGAUGCUGCUGAACCUGAGAGUGAUAUUUACAUGCGCUUUAUGAAAUCACACAAGUGCUACGACAUCGUCCCAACAAGCUCCAAACUGGUUGUGUUCGACACGGCUCUCCAGGUUAAGAAAGCGUUCUUUGCCUUGGUUGCAAAUGGUGUGCGAGCUGCUCCAUUAUGGGACACAGAGAAGCAAAGCUUUGUGGGAAUGCUGACAAUCACAGACUUCAUCAUCAUCCUACACAGAUACUACAAGUCACCAAUGGUGCAAAUAUAUGAAUUAGAGGAGCAUAAGCUUGAGACAUGGAGAGAGGUUUACCUUCAAGCGACGUUCAAACCUCUAGUCAGCAUAUCACCUGAUGCAAGUCUUUUUGAUGCCGUGUACACCCUCAUCAAAAACAAAAUUCACCGACUGCCUGUCAUCGACCCAGUCACGGGAAAUGCACUUUACAUUCUCACACACAAGAGGAUCCUCAAGUUCCUCCAACUUUUUAUGUGUGAAAUGCCAAAGCCAGCCUUCAUGAAGCAGACUCUCGGGGAGCUGGGCAUCGGUACGUACAAUGACAUUGCCUUCAUCCACCCAGACACGCCUAUCAUCAAAGCGCUCAACAUCUUUGUGGAGAGACGAGUGUCUGCCCUGCCUGUGGUUGAUGAGUCUGGCAAAGUGGUGGAUAUUUACUCCAAGUUUGAUGUGAUUAAUUUGGCUGCUGAGAAGACGUACAAUAACCUGGACAUCACAGUGACGCAGGCUCUGAAACACCGAUCUCAGUACUUUGAAGGAGUCAUGAAAUGCCACAAAAUGGAAACAAUGGAGACCAUUGUGGACAGGAUAGUCAAAGCUGAAGUGCAUCGGCUGGUGGUGGUGGACGAGCGCUCCAGCAUCGAGGGCAUCGUCUCCCUGUCAGACAUCCUUCAGGCCCUGGUGCUCAGCCCUGCAGGUAUAGAUGCUCAGCAUCACUAAUUCCAACUUCCCUUCUGCCCCGGACCACCCUGAGCUCUCUCCCCGCCCCGCCCUCUAACCCUGUCCCGGGUAGGAAAAGCACCUGUUUGACUUCUGCCUGGUUGUGGCCUGUAGCUGGCUGUGAGGAGACGCCUGUAAGGAGGAGAAUCUGCCCGAGUGAGACAGAGGAGGUCACAGUGGAAGUGGAGACGUGUUGGAAGUAAAUAAGUCUGAAGGAUGAGGUGGAGAGCGCGAGGCUGAGCAGAGCAGAGCUGGUCAGAAGGUCCCAGAGACACCUGAGAAGGAUGCACUAUAGAGGCCUAGAAACCAAAGAGCUAGAAAGCUGAAUGAAGUGGAGUUCCUGCACUGAGGAUUGAUUUCUGAAUUAAUCUCUUUUGUUUUAAUGUUUGAAUAGAUACGCGCGCACACACACACACCCACACACACACACACAAUGUUGUAUUUAUACACCCAGACACUCACACACACAUAGAGAUACAUAAUGGUCACCAGCCUGGGAGAGAUGGGAAAAGAGGAUUAGUAAAGAUCUUUAGGAUCACGCUGCUGUCAUCAGUUAAUUUUUAAGCACACCUUGAUGUGGAUAUUGAAUGUCAUGGCCUCCAGGAGAACCAGUUUUCUCCUCAGUGUUUGGUGUAGAACAGCAAACAUACAACUUAUGCAACUUAUUUUUGUUUGCUAAUCUACACGUCACCAUUGAAAAGGCUGUUUUAUGACUGUUUUUGUUAAAAACUUAGUUUGCAAGUGCCAAUGUAGAGGGAUUGAUGCCGAGUCUUUAUUUGUGCCUUUCAUUUUCCCUUUGUCAGCUGUAAAACCUGACAGUUUAGAGUCUUUUUGACUUUUCAUUGUCAGAGCAAUGCUAUCAUUUGGAUUAUUUUUAAUUAUGGAGAAGGUUUGAAUGUAAAAUUAAAAAAUACAAACUCUUCCCUUCAGAAGAUCUCCCAAAAAGAUUUUUAUAAGGAUUGAGAAUUUGUGUUUUAGAGAAAAGAAGAAUCAGAGAGAUUCAAACACUCAAAAAGCAAUCAACAUUAUUAAUAAUAACUCUGUCCACCAAGAUCUUUAGUCAGUGCUUCUUGCUUAUUUUACAUCAGGAGAGAUUUAAAGUCACUGCUUUUUUGUGACUGUAUUACAAGUCCCAAAAGCCUUUUAUAAUGUGUAAACUUCUUUUUACAUGUAUUUUCAGUUGUGUUGACACUUCAGAUGUUCACAUACGUGCAAAUCAAGGCCGGUAUCUCAGCUGUAGCUCGACAGGACUCAUCUCCAUCUUUGACUGUAAAUAGGAGUGUUUUCAGGAUAUGUGUCACAUAAAGCUUUAUUUUUAUGAAUGUGUCAACCUGUUUAAAGAGACUGCCGUUUUAAUGUUAUUUUUGUAAAUAUAUGGUGGCAAUAUGUCCGGUUCAAAGAGACUUUGUAUCAACAUGUACUGUAAAUGUGCAAGCAUGAGAAAACUACACUUCAGCAGUAUGAAUGUUAUUUGUUUUACUUUUUCUAUUUUUCUGGCUGCAGAAAAAUAAAUGGACACUGAAUGUA